rnacentral:rRNA from 1 species
AUGUCAAUAGCCUGCUGAACCACUUGGAGGAAUGUAUAGCUAAAGCUGGUGUAUUCUAAUAGUUAGUACAGCAUCGACUACGAUAAAAUUCUAGAUAGAGUUAUGAUGAUGACAUUUUCUAUCUAUAUGUCUUGACCAAGUCACGUGCCAGCAGUCGCGGUAAUACGUGGCAGACUAGUGUUAUUCAUCUUUAAUAGGUUUAAAGGGUACUUAGGCGGAAUAUUAAGCCUACUUAUUUUCUAGAGUUUUAUGCGAGGGGGGUACUAAAGAGUGUAGAGAUGAAAUUCUGUCAUACCUUUGGAACAGGCAACGGCGAAAGCAACCCUUUAUGUGAAAACUGACGUUGAAGGACGAAGGCUUGGUACACCAACAGGAUUAGAUACCCCAGCAGUCCUAGCAGACAAUGAUGAAUGUCAUAGAUUAGAAAAGAGUAAAUAGAUUCCUUUACUCAGCAUAAUACUAAAUAAUGCCAAAAGAAAAAGUUUUUGUCUAUAAAUGAAAGUGUAAGCAUUCCACCUCAAGAGUAAUGUGGCAACGCAGAAACUGAAAUCAUUAGACCGUUUCUGAAACCAGUAGUGAAGUAUGUUAUUUAAUUUGUCGGUACACAAAAAACCUCACCACAAUUUGUAUAUUUUUAUUAAUACAAGCGUUGCACGGGUCUACAGUUAAUGUUGUGAAAUUUUGGUUGAUCCCUUAAUUAACGUAAACCCUUGCUUUAUUUAUUAUUAUAAAGUAGUUCAUCGCUAUAUUGAAUAUGCAGGGAAGACAAGUCAUUUAAUAUUGGGGGUUA